ACACUCCUGCGGGAGGCAGCAGUGGGGAAUUUUGGACAAUGGGCGAAAGCCUGAUCCAGCAAUGCCGCGUGUGUGAAGAAGGCCUUCGGGUUGUAAAGCACUUUUGUCCGGAAAGAAAUCCUUGGCUCUAAUACAGUCGGGGGAUGACGGUACCGGAAGAAUAAGCACCGGCUAACUACGUGCCAGCAGCCGCGGUAAUACGUAGGGUGCGAGCGUUAAUCGGAAUUACUGGGCGUAAAGCGUGCGCAGGCGGUUUGCCAAGACCGAUGUGAAAUCCCCGGGCUCAACCUGGGAACUGCAUUGGUGACUGGCAGGCUAGAGUAUGGCAGAGGGGGGUAGAAUUCCACGUGUAGCAGUGAAAUGCGUAGAGAUGUGGAGGAAUACCGAUGGCGAAGGCAGCCCCCUGGGCCAAUACUGACGCUCAUGCACGAAAGCGUGGGGAGCAAACAGGAUUAGAUACCCGUGUAGUCC
rnacentral:rRNA from 1 species